UACGUAGGGUGCGAGCGUUGUCCGGAAUUAUUGGGCGUAAAGGGCUCGUAGGCGGCCUGUCACGUCGGGAGUGAAAACACGGGGCUUAACCCCGUGCCUGCUUCCGAUACGGGCAGACUAGAGGUAUGCAGGGGAGAACGGAAUUCCUGGUGUAGCGGUGAAAUGCGCAGAUAUCAGGAGGAACACCGGUGGCGAAGGCGGUUCUCUGGGCAUUACCUGACGCUGAGGAGCGAAAGUGUGGGGAGCGAACAGG
rnacentral:rRNA from 1 species